rnacentral:rRNA from 1 species
GACGAACGCUGGCGGCGUGCUUAACACAUGCAAGUCGAACGGUAAGGCCCUUCGGGGUACACGAGUGGCGAACGGGUGAGUAACACGUGGGUGAUCUGCCCUGCACUUCGGGAUAAGCCUGGGAAACUGGGUCUAAUACCGGAUAGGACCCUGGGAUGCAUGUCCUGGGGUGGAAAGCUUUUGCGGUGUGGGAUGGGCCCGCGGCCUAUCAGCUUGCUGGUGGGGUGCUGGCCUACCAAGGCGACGACGGGUAGCCGGCCGGAGAGGGUGACCGGCCACACUGGGACUGAGAUACGGCCCAGACUGCUACGGGAGGCAGCAGUGGGGAAUAUUGCACAAUGGGCGCAAGCCUGAUGCAGCGACGCCGCGUGAGGGAUGACGGCCUUCGGGUUGUAAACCUCUUUCAGCACCGACGAAGCGCAAGUGACGGUAGGUGCAGAAGAAGGACCGGCCAACUACGUGCCAGCCGCCGCCGUAA